GUGGGGAAUAUUGGACAAUGGGCGAAAGCCUGAUCCAGCCAUGCCGCGUGUGUGAAGAAGGUCUUCGGAUUGUAAAGCACUUUAAGUUGGGAGGAAGGGCAGUAAGUUAAUACCUUGCUGUUUUGACGUUACCGACAGAAUAAGCACCGGCUAACUUCGUGCCAGCAGCCGCGGUAAUACGAAGGGUGCAAGCGUUAAUCGGAAUUACUGGGCGUAAAGCGCGCGUAGGUGUUUCACCAAGUUGAAGGUGAAAUCCCCGGGCUCAACCUGGGAACUGCCUCCAAAACUACUGAGCUAGAGUACGGUAGAGGGUAGUGGAAUUUCCUGUGUAGCGGUGAAAUGCGUAGAUAUAGGAAGGAACACCAGUGGCGAAGGCGACUACCUGGACUGAUACUGACACUGAGGUGCGAAAGCGUGGGGAGCAAACAGGAUUAGAAACCCCGGUAGUCC
rnacentral:rRNA from 1 species